GAAAUCCUGUGUCGAGAGGAUUCAGUCUGCCGCGGUGGAUGUCUCGCCGUCCGUCGGGUCAACUUCUCCCACCCCAGACACAUUUGUUUCUCGUCCUAAGGACGCUGUAACCAGUCUGGAAUUGCAAGCGUGACGGCCUGAAGAUCGGGAAAUUGUAGGUGGACGGCGGAUUGCCUCGUGCGGGUUGUCGAUUUUUAGCCUUCUCGUCAGACUGGGGUGUCUCAGGACAGGGAGCCGCAAAGGUUUUUCGUCCUAGCCGUCGCACUCUUAAGGAGGGGGUGAUGAGGUGCGAGACCCCAUUGGUGGUUUCGGACCUGCAGGGGCAUGGAGGCUGGCAGCGAGUAGGUCGGUCACCCACCUGACCCGUCUUGAAACACGGAACAAAGUGUCUAACAUGUGCGCGAGUCAAUGGGUCUUAACUAGGCCCAGGGGCGCAAUGAAAGCGAUGAGGACUGACUAGCGUCGUCUGCGUGGGGAUCCUCCUUCCUUCGUGUGGGGGGCGCCCUCACGACCCUUCCUAUCCGGCUCGCUGGUUGGGUGGAGUCUGAGCGUACAGGUUGUGACCCUAACGAUGGUGAACUAUGCCCGGAUUUAACGAGGCCAGAGGAAACUGGUGGAGGUCCCCAGCGGUUCUGAUGUGCAAAUCGAUCGUCUGAUCCGGGU
rnacentral:rRNA from 1 species